rnacentral:tRNA from 1 species
GUCCGGUUAGUCAAGCGGUUAAGACACCGCCCUUUCACGGCGGAGACACGGGUUCAAAUCCCGUACCGGACA